rnacentral:rRNA from 1 species
GUCCACGCUGUAAACGAUGAUUACUCGAUGUUGGCGAUACACAGUCAGCGUCUGAACGAAAGUAUUAAGUAAUCCACCUGGGGAGUACGUUCGCAAGGAUGAAACUCAAAGGAAUUGACGGGGGCCCGCACAAGCGGAGGAGCAUGUGGUUUAAUUCGAUGAUACGCGAGGAACCUUACCUAGACUUAAAUGUAGAUUGACCGGAGGGGAAACCUUUUUUCAGCAAUGACAAUUUACAAGGUGCUGCAUGGUUGUCGU